AAGGAGUCUAGUAAAUGAGCGAGUCUAAGGUAUCCUAACGAAUACCGCAGGCGUUGUGAAGGCGCUUGUUUGCGUAGGUCUUUUGGCCUUGCGAACGCACGCCAGUUUCAUAGCGAUGAUGGGGGCCUGAACAGCCUCUCGCAAUCGCGAGGUGGUCUCAUUCUCGUUUCGAGAAGAGCCAUCCUUUUAGCUCACGUGCUAGUACCCGAAAGAUGGUGAACUAUGCUUGACGAGAGCUGAGUUAGGGGAAACCCUGAUGUAAGCUCGUCAUCGAUUCUGACGUGCAAAUCGAUCGUCUGAGUUACGUAUAGGGGCGAAAGACCAAUCGAACCAUCUAGUAGCUGGUUCCUUCCGAAGUUUCCCUCAGGAUAGCUCGUGUCGCUUUAGUUAGUAACAUGUGGUAAAGCUAAUGACUAGAGGUAUUGGGACCGAAACGGCCUCAACCUAUUCUCAAACUUUCAAUGUGUGUGAGAUCAAACGGCUUACGGUGAUCAAUUCAUUUUGACGACGAAGCCGUGCGAACUCCGUGGGCGUCGUCGUCGUUUCGGCGACGGCGCUUUCGGCUAAUAUAAUAACGCGGCACGUAGUGGGCCGAUUUUGGUAAGCAGAAACGGCGAUGUGGGAUGAACCAAAUAUAAAGCUAAAGCGUCAAAGUCAACGCUCAUGG
rnacentral:rRNA from 1 species